GAUAUCUAUAUGACGUNGUAGANGUAGGAGAUCUGAUGACGGUCGUCCUUCAGCUGAUGCUGUGCUCAGCCCCGCUCUCAAAUCCACUCAACACCUGUGCACUUUCAAAGUAGUGGUCCUCCGUAAUGGGAGUUGUGGGUCUUUUGAUCUGCUGGGACUGCACUUUGACCCUUUAUUACAAUACUAUAUGCGCUGUUUCGUAUAAUGUAAAGCCUCAUAGUGGGUGAAAUUUAAUACAACUUUCUACANCGGAUCUCUUGGCUCUCGCAUCGAUGAAGAACGCAGCGAAAUGCGAUAAGUAAUGUGAAUAGCAGAAUUCAGUGAAUCAUCGAAUCUUUGAACGCACCUUGCGCUCCUUGGUAUUCCGAGGAGCAUGCCUGUUUGAGUGUCGUGAAAUCAUCAACUCCCUUCCUUUAUUGAAAGGCGAGCUUGGACUUGGGGAUUGCUGGUGUUCGGAUCAGCUUCCUUUGAAUGCAUUAGCUGGUAAGUCCAUNUGCAGCACUAUAGUGCGGUGUGAAUAUAUGUCAGUCACUGCUGCUAGCUCAGU
rnacentral:rRNA from 1 species